rfam:Triticum aestivum genome assembly, contig: Triticum_aestivum_CS42_TGACv1_scaffold_289178_4AL
CCUAUCCAGGACGAUGAGUUGAUCUCGUACACCCUCCAUGGGCUGGACGUCAACUACCAGCCGCUCGUUUCCGCCCUUGACGCCCGCGUCACGCCCGUCAUCCUCGACAAGCUCUAUGCCAUGCUGAGUAACUUCGAUC